UUUUUUUAAGGAGUGACAAACGCACAUUUCUCACUCAUUUUUGGGAAAAAGGCUCCCUCAGCCAAGUACAGGGGUACUUUGGUUGGUUUCUCCUGGUCGUGGUUGGGUCAAAAUUAGGGCAAGGAGAGAAAGAGAGGGGGAAGAGCAAGAGCAAGAGGAAUGGAGAAAGGGAUCUGUUCAUGGCGAGGCGAUGGCUAGUUACGAGGUAAGGGUGACUAUGAAAUUCUCUAUCAAAUUCUGUUGGUAUGAAGUUCGAUUCUGUUUGCUCAAGAAAAAUGCCUAUGUGAAGUGAAACACUACACAUAGUUUCUUCUAAAGCUUUAGGAAAGAAAUCCCCAAGCUUAAGUUCUUUUUUGUCCAAAAAAACUUUGAGUCCGGUAGCAUGUAAGAUAUUGUUGUCCAUUAUAUGUUUAACAUCUCCUCCAUGAUGAUUUAUGAAUACAUCGUAGGGCACAUAACAUUACCAUUGACCUUUUGUUUUUGUAAUGUUACGUGCCUUACGAUGUGUCCAUAAAUCAUCACAGAGGAGAUGUUAAACAUACAGUCUUACAUACUACCAGACUCAAAGUUUUUUGGACAAAAAUGAGUUGAAGCUUGGGGAUUUCAUUCUUAGAGAUUUAGAAGGAAGCCGUGCGUAAUGCUUCACCUCAUAUAGUCAUUUUUUUUGAGCAUUAUGCGGAGUCACUUGGUGUUUAGCUGAGCUGGCAUUUAUGGUGUUUAGUUGACGUGUCAUUUAUGGUAGAAACGGGCACCACAAUUAUCCCUGUUUUCUAUCAUGUUGAGCCGUCUACUUUAAGAUGGGCGAUUCAAAGAAAAAGAAUCUAUAUUGAUGCUUUCUGUAAGUGUGAAAUUGAAGAGCGGUGACAAACAUGAAAAGAAGAGAAGAUACUGCUCAGAACAGCAGCUUCAACGGUGGAAAUGAGCACUCCAAGAAGCCUCUUUUUUCACAGGGGUAUCAUUAAUAAUCGGAAGUAAAAUCAUUUUGAUUGGCAAACUAGAGAAAAACACAGAGACGAGGGAAAAAACCAAUGAAACCAAGUGUAAGAAAAUCAUCUACAACGAAAAACGAUAUUUUUCCUCUAAAAGAAUUUAAUGAAAAGUUGGUGAAAGAGACAAUAGUAUUAUGAUGUUUUAUCAAAGUAGCUUUUGAGGCACGACUGAUGAAUUUCAUUGUUGUUCCAGCAGUGCCUAAUAGUGCACUUAUCUUACUAUUCAUAAUAGAAUCUUCAGCACUUUAUUUUUCUGUA